rnacentral:lncRNA from 1 species
UGUUGAUCCACACAGGAAUGGGUUCAAGACUCUAGCUCCACCAAAACUUGAUUCUAAUUGUUCAAUCCUUCCAAAGGAUUUAAUUGGCUGAUUUUCCUUCACUUCCUUCUUCCUUUCUACCUCUAAAACAUUCACUAGCCUUUUUGUCCUAAAGAAGACCCACUUGUCUUGGGUUAGGACAAAAGAGAGAGGCUUGUAAGAAAGAAGGGAUAAGGGAGAGAGAAGGAGAGGCUUUUUCUUGGAUGAUCUUUAGAACCCCAAGGCACCUCCUUAUUUAUAAGAGAUGGAGGGAUGCAUCAUAAAGGGAUGCAUCCCAUCCACACACCUCAUCAUGAUGAGGCAUGUGCCAAGAGAUGCAUCCCAUCAUGAUGGGGUGCUAAGGAGAAGGGUGUAUCAACUUCUUUCUCACAUCUCCCUCUUAAAUCCUGAUGAUCCAAGGGCCNN